rnacentral:ncRNA from 1 species
CUACGGUCCCUCCCCGACGGUUGCCCGCAAGGGCUGAAAAGGGAACACGGUCGGGAGUCCGGUCUGCGCCGCGAGGCGCCGCGACCGCUUUCAUGCCGAGGCUGCCCCCGCAACUGUGAGCGGCGAGUCGUCCGUCAUCACGCCACUGGGAUCGCGAAUCCUGGGAAGGCGACGGAACGACGAGAACCCGCGAGCCAGGAGACCUGCCGUCAGUCGUGGUCACAC